rnacentral:rRNA from 1 species
UACGUAGGGGGCGAGCGUUGUCCGGAGUUACUGGGCGUAAAGCGCUUGUAGGCGGUCCACCAAGUUUGGGGUGACAGUUGCCGACUUAAUCGGCAAAGUGCCUCAAAGACUAGCGGACUUGAGGGCCACAGAGGGACAUGGAACUCCAGGUGUAGUGGUGAAAUGCGUAGAUAUCUGGAAGAACACCAAAGGCGAAGGCAGUGUCCUGGGUGGUCGCUGACGCUGAGAGGCGAAAGCGUGGGGAGCGAACAGG